UACGUAGGUAGCAAGCGUUGUCCGGAAUUAUUGGGCGUAAAGCGCGCGCAGGCGGUUCCUUAAGUCUGAUGUGAAAGCCCACGGCUCAACCGUGGAGGGUCAUUGGAAACUGGGGAACUUGAGUGCAGAAGAGAAGAGUGGAAUUCCACGUGUAGCGGUGAAAUGCGUAGAGAUGUGGAGGAACACCAGUGGCGAAGGCGACUCUUUGGUCUGUAACUGACGCUGAGGCGCGAAAGCGUGGGGAGCAAACAGG
rnacentral:rRNA from 1 species